GUCAACAGCCUCUACUGCCAAAUCUUGAGCUACUCUUGACUGACCGAAUAAUGGGAUUUGAAUGUAACUCUUCUAGUGAGUGUACUCCAAAGUACAAAGUACGUUCUGUGACAAUGAGCAACGAGACUUCGGUUCUCGGAUUCACAGUUCGAGCACGGUAGCCAUUAAGUACACUCAGGUUUUUGGUCUAGGAAGUUUCAUGUGUAUUUUGAAACGACGAAGUUGAAAAUUACAAAGUUUUGAAAGUACAAUUUAAAGUAAUAGAUGUUGAUAGGAAAUGGGUGGAAAUUUAUGGGAGUGCAACAAAGAUUGUUUUGUUUAUGGAAAAGCUACUAAGCCUAGUAGUUGUCAUCUCUAAUUUCUAACUGCCGAACAAAGAGAAGACAACUUAGCCGACAGCAUUUGUUUCCAACUCUUUGGCUGCUCUUUUACCAUCAAACAAUGGGAUUAACCGUCACAUUAUAACAUCCCCGCGAUUAGUGACUCUGUCUGAUAUUAUUUAUGAGAAAUAUGGCAGAUUAUACUUUACAACAUAGAGCGGAUGAGGUAGUAGAAAAAAAAGAUGAAUAAAUGUGCCUGAGAGAAGACUAGAGCUAACAAUCGAAAUAUUUGAGCUUAUGCCCUAAAGUAUGUGGAAACACAUAGGAAACAGCUUACAGUAUCUGAAACUACAUAAGAGAAAUAUGAGUGUAUAGAAAGUAGCUGGCAAUAUCUGUGGAUGAUAUUUGGUAUUUUCAACUUGAGCUACAUUUUAUGUGAUAUUCCUAAUUUGAGCUGUUGACCUUAUGGAGGGCAACCAUAAAAGAUCACCCGUCUUCUAGACGGUUACUCUUAACCAAAUAGUGGGUUUGCCUGUCACUCUUAUAAUGCGCCUACAAAUGAAAGUGUAAAAUGUCAUAUUAUAGGCCAAGAUGUCUAGUAUAUGUAAUUUCGUAGAAAUAGCCAACAAUGAAUACUUAUGUACAUGAGAUGGCUGAUCGUGAACUGGAGUACAUAAGAAAGGAUAACGAUAGCUAGAACUUGAAAUCCUAUAUAUAUUUUCAAAACAGAUUAAUAAAAAUACUUUGAAACAUCUUUAAACAUAGAAAUGCCAUUCAUUUUUGCAUGUUUUUUCAUCAAUACUUGUCAAAAACUGAUCGAACGAUUCUGAUUUGAAUAAGUUCAGUAACAAAUAUCUAAGUCAAGUGUCACUAAAUAAUAAAAUUUGAAUCAGAUUAUUUCUAAAUUCAACUUAUCUUGUUCGACAAAAAAAUUAAUGGCAGAAUGUUGAAAUUAAUCUGAAAAAACAUGCAUAUUGUGUGCUGCAUACGCGUGUGUUACUCCAUUUACAAGCUUCCUAACCACGUGCUUGCUUUGAAGAAUAGCAAAUAAUUAUCCUAAAAUCGUUUGUUAUUGAUUAUAAGUAGCCUAAAAUUGUUCUCAAAUUAUAGAAAAUCUGGUAUUGAUUAUUUAAGUUCAGGAAAACAGGAAAUAAACUUGAAAAAUCGUUUAGAUUUCAAUUAAAAUACCUUUCCAUUUUCCAAAACUUGAGUUUUAAGAUCAUGUGUUUAUGUAAAAGUUUGAUAAAUAACGUUGUCAUAUACUCCGCUUAGACGUAAAUAAGAUGUAAUUGCACAUUUUUCUCGUUAAAAAAUGAUUAUUUUAGAAAACCCAUUUCUCUAUUCGUUUAAUAUGUUGUUUCAAAAAAAGGAAAAUCUCUCUCUCUUUAAGCGUGAAAACUGUGGAAAACAAGUUAGAUGCCGUAUAUUAUACCGCAAUCAUAUUUGAUUUAUUUUUAUUACGUUACUAUGUUUUUAUCAAGAA
rnacentral:lncRNA from 1 species